rnacentral:lncRNA from 1 species
CAUACAUAUACAUACAUAUAUACAUAUAUAUAUAUAUAUAUAUAUAUAUACAUAUAAUACAUACAUAUACAUAUAAAGAACAAUUGGAUGUAAUUUUUGUCUGCAUGAUGUGGACGAACAACAAUCAAAUUGAAAACCAGUUAGUGAAGGUUAUACGAUAACUAACUUAGCAACAGAAUUCAUCAUGAUUAAAUCAUAGAGAGAAACUAUUUGAGAAGUAGAAAAGAGAGGAGGAGGAGGGAGAGAGAGAGAGAGAGAGAGAGAGAGAGAGAGAGAGAGAGAGAGAUAGAGAGAGUGUGUGUGUAGGGUAAGGAAUGACCGAAUCAGAGAAAGUUAAUUACUGUACGGUAGGUACCGCAAUGUGUUAAUAUCGUUAAAACAAGGGACUUUGCCGAAUAUUGUCAAACCGGUUUCAGUCCCUUUCCCCCCCUGCUCUUCACCUUAAACAGGAAAUGAAUAUAAGUGGUUAAUGACGGUUAAAUUACAUGCUAUUAAUCAAAGUCUGGUCUGAUUCAUAACGAACAACACAUACACUCGAUAUUAUGUUCCACCCAACACCUUGAUAACUUCUAUUACAAGCAAGAGAGAAAAAAAAAACACCUCGUGUCUAAACACCAACCAAAUCUCUGCUCAUAGUUUAGUUUCGUAGCUGUUUCGUUUUUUUUUUUUAACAUUUCUAUUUCUUAUUCUCCAGUUCUUACCACACACCCAUGUCUAUUAAUAACAUCUUAAUAACAUAUAUAUAAAUAUGUGCAUAUAUAUAUAUAUAUGUGUGUGUGUGUGUGUGUGUAUAUGUGAGUGUGUAUAUAUAUAUGCGUAUAUAUAUAUAUAUAUGGGUGUGUGUAUA